rnacentral:lncRNA from 1 species
CAGGGCUGGCUCCGGAGCGGGGUCUGGGUCCCGCAGGCUCCAGCGGUCGCCAGCGCUUCUCCGGCAGCCUCGUCCUGAAAUCGUGCGAUUGUGAGCUAGAAGCCUUCUGGGUCACUCAUAAACCAAAGAGAAAAUAAGAGGAAUUCCUUGGGGCUUAAUACAAAUCCUUGAGAGUUCUAGCCCAGAUGCAGCCUAGAAAUGUGAAGAUGAAGGAGGU